rnacentral:lncRNA from 1 species
UGGGCAUCAAGCUGUUUGCCCCAAAGGUAUUAAAAAAGAAAAACAGCAUAUAAGACAUGUUUCCUUUGCAGUGAAUGCAUGUGAGAGAACCAACCCUCUGAGCUCUGAUUAUGAAUGAGGCAGUGAUCUCAAUGAGAAAGUCUAUUGUCGAAAGCAGAGGAAGAGGUUAGAGAUGGAGUUUCGGAUGCCUUCCAUUCUUGAGGCUUUGCUGCUUUUCUUCGGAGUUACGUUGGCAAAGCUAACCAUGGAGCCAAAGGAAGGCAGCAUUGGCGGUGGAACCUGGAUCACACUGAGAUAUGAGGGUAGAUUCUGGGGCCCCUCAGAAACUGUUGGUGGUAUUUCUAGACAAAAAGGGGCAGUCAUAAGACUAGCUGCUCUUUGUGGCACCUCAACCCAAUUUUUUAAAGAAAAUGUUACUAGAUUAAUCAGUGGCGUAGCGUGGGGGGUGCAGGGGGGCCGGCCGCACCUGGGGGGGGUGGCGUGCUCGCACUCGCAGCUCUCUGCCCCUACCUGGUCCAAGGGUUAGGGGGCGCAAAUUACUUGCCUUGCCCCGGGUGCUGACAACCCACGCUACGCCACUGAGAUUAAUCAUGUGUGAUUUUGUCAACCAAUGGUAAUUUAUCAAUUAAUCUGCUGAUUAAAUUUGUAUGUGGGUGAAAACAAUAGUUUUAAAGCAAGAAGCACACUUUAAUUACUGCUCAUGUGUGUCAGCCCACAUAAUCCUAGAGAAGAUAUUCUCUGCUAUGUGAGAGACAAUGGGCAAUACUGCAAAAAAAGUAUUCUAAAUGCAAUUGCACUGUUGAUUCCUAAAAUGGCAUUAUUAUAUUGAUAAUUUUAUUUUCAGUCCCUUUUAUUAAUGAUUCCUAACUUGAAACCCACAGUUUCACAGCUGCCACAUUGUGGGUCAACAUCCUCAUUGAGCUGUCCAGCACAACCCCAAAUUCUCUUUCCUGGUCAGUAACUUCCACUUCAGAUCCUGUAAGUGAGGUUAGAAAUUUUUUUUUUGCCACAGAUUGUAUCACUUUGCACUUGUGUACACCGAAUUGUGUUUGCCAUUUUAUGGCCAAUUUGCCCAGUUUGGAGAGAUCCUUUUGGAGCUCCUCAUGGUCUCUCUCUCUCUCUCUCUCUCUCUCUCUCUCUCUCUCUCUCUCUCUCUCUCUCUCUUUCAAAACUGCCUUGAACACCUUGAUAACAGCAAACUUGGCUAUUUCACUCCUCACCCCUAGCUCCAGGUCAUUUAUGAGCAAGUUAAAAAGCACAUGCUCCAAUACAGAUCCUUAGGAGAAUCCACUUCUUAUAUCCUUCCAUUGUGAGAACUGGCCACCCCCCCCCUAUUCUCUGCUUCCUCCUCUUUCACCAUUAGUGAUGCACAAGAUGAUUUAUCCUCAUGACAAGAGGCAAAUAAAAUUCAUUGUAAACAUAUGUAAAGUGAUCCACAUUGUGCCCCCAAAAAUAUUAAAUUCCCCUAUAUGUUCAUGGAGUUCAAACUGGCAGUGUCUGACCAGGAAUGAGACCAGCAGCUUGAUGAAAGGGUUGACCUGGUGUGCAGGAUCUGCGAAAAAGGCUAAUUCCAUGCAAAGGAUAAUUAGGAAAAGAACUGAAAAUAAAACUGCUGAUAUCAUAAUGCCCUACAAAUCUAUGGUAUAACAGCACUUGGAGUACUGUGUACAGUUCUAGUUGCCUCUUCUCAAAAAUGAUAUUGUAAAUUGGAAAAGGCACAGAAUUUAUUAAGGGCUUGG